rnacentral:rRNA from 1 species
UGCGCAGGUGGGCUUGUAAGUCAGUGGUGAAAUCUUGCCGCUUAACGGUAAAAUUGCCAUUGAUACUGCAAGUCUUGAGUAUGGUUGAGGUAGGUGGAAUGUGUUGUGUAGCGGUGAAAUGCAUAGAUAUGACACAGAACGCCGAUUGCGAAGGCAGCUUACUAAGCCAUAACUGACGCUGAGGCACGAAAGCGUGGGGAGCGAACAGGAUUAGAUACCCUGGUAGUCC